GGUGCCUAUGUUUUGUUUAAUAACGUGACAAGUGGAUGGCUCUUUCUGUGUGUCCAUGGAAGCGAAUGGGUUCAUUGAAAAUCUCACUUGAUUACUUUAACCGCACCCGCAGGGUGGGGGUGGGGGGGGAUAAAAUCCCUGCACAUCCUCAAACGCGGUUAUUAAGAUUAUAACUUUUGGUUAUUUACAGCUUAAUAACAAUUAGCGGCAGAGAAGAA